rnacentral:rRNA from 1 species
GAGUUUGAUCCUGGCUCAGAUUGAACGCUGGCGGUAGGCUUAACACAUGCAAGUCGAGCGAGAAAGCCCUUCGGGGUGAGUACAGCGGCGGACGGGUGAGUAACGCGUAGGAAUCUACCCAGUAGUGGGGGACAACAGUCGGAAACGGCUGCUAAUACCGCAUACGCCCUACGGGGGAAAGCGGGGGACCUUCGGGCCUCGCGCUAUUGGAUGAGCCUGCGUAAGAUUAGCUAGUUGGUGAGGUAAAGGCUCACCAAGGCGACGAUCUUUAGCUGGUCUGAGAGGAUGAUCAGCCACACUGGAACUGAGACACGGUCCAGACUCCUACGGGAGGCAGCAGUGGGGAAUAUUGCACAAUGGGGGAAACCCUGAUGCAGCCAUGCCGCGUGUGUGAAGAAGGCCCUAGGGUUGUAAAGCACUUUCAAUUGGGAGGAAAAGCUUGUCGUUAAUAGCGGCAAGCCCUGACGUUACCUUUAGAAGAAGCACCGGCUAACUCCGUGCCAGCAGCCGCGGUAAUACGGAGGGUGCGAGCGUUAAUCGGAAUUACUGGGCGUAAACCGCCUGUAGGCGGCUUGUUAAGUCGGAUGUGAAAGCCCCGGGCUUAACCUGGGAACUGCAUCCGAUACUGGGCGACUAGAGUACGAGAGAGGGGGGUAGAAUUCCACGUGUAGCGGUGAAAUGCGUAGAUAUGUGGAGGAACAUCAGUGGCGAAGGCGGCAGCCUGGCCCAAUACUGACGCUGAGGUGCGAAAAGCGUGGGGAGCAAACAGGAUUAGAUACCCUGGUAGUCCACGCCGUAAACGAUGUCUACUAGCCGUUGGGGGACUUGAUCCCUUAGUGGCGCAGCUAACGCACUAAGUAGACCGCCUGGGGAGUACGGACGCAAGUUUAAAACUCAAAUGAAUUGACGGGGGCCCGCACAAGCGGUGGAGCAUGUGGUUUAAUUCGAUGCAACGCGAAGAACCUUACCAGGUCUUGACAUCCCGAGAAUUUACUAGAGAUAGUUUAGUGCCUUCGGGAACUCGGUGACAGGUGCUGCAUGGCUGUCGUCAGCUCGUGUCGUGAGAUGUUGGGUUAAGUCCCGUAACGAGCGCAACCCUUGUCCUUAGUUGCCAGCACGUAAUGGUGGGAACUCUAAGGAGACUGCCGGUGACAAACCGGAGGAAGGUGGGGACGACGUCAAAUCAUCACGGCCCUUACGUCCAGGGCUACACACGUGCUACAAUGGACGGUACAGAGGGUUGCCAAGCCGCGAGGUGGAGCUAAUCCCAUAAAACCGUUCGUAGUCCGGAUUGGAGUCUGCAACUCGACUCCAUGAAGUCGGAAUCGCUAGUAAUCGUGAAUCAGAAUGUCACGGUGAAUACGUUCCCGGGCCUUGUACACACCGCCCGUCACACCAUGGGAGUGGAUUGCACCAGAAGUAGUUAGUCUAACCUUCGGGAGGACGAUUACCACGGUGUGGUUCAUGACUGGGGUGAAGUCGGAACAAGGUA